UAGGGAAUCUUCCGCAAUGGACGCAAGUCUGACGGAGCAACGCCGCGUGAGUGAAGAAGGAUUUCGGUUCGUAAAACUCUGUUGUUAGAGAAGAACAGCGCAUAGAGUAACUGUUAUGCGUGUGACGGUAUCUAACCAGAAAGCCACGGCUAACUACGUGCCAGCAGCCGCGGUAAUACGUAGGUGGCAAGCGUUGUCCGGAUUUAUUGGGCGUAAAGCGAGCGCAGGCGGUCAAUUAAGUCUGAUGUGAAAGCCCCCGGCUCAACCGGGGAGGGUCAUUGGAAACUGGUUGACGUGAGUGCAGAAGAGGAGAGUGGAAUUCCAUGUGUAGCGGUGAAAUGCGUAGAUAUAGGGAGGAACACCAGUGGCGAAGGCGACUCUCUGGUCUGUAACUGACGCUGAGGUUCGAAAGCGUGGGUAGCAAACAGG
rnacentral:rRNA from 1 species